GUUCGACGUUACAGGGCUUUGUAGGGCCUUAAUCGGUGUUUUACUACUGUCUGUGUUCAAAACCCGAUAAGGCAUUUAUCCAUUCGGCGUUCCCGAUUUAACGUUUUGGUCGCUUCUCUAUUCCAAGAUAGAGAAAGGAGGGCUCGCUAAAGCUGGUCCUUUUUAGGACAUUGGCGGAGCAGCGGCAAAACCGAGCUGCCGGUCCCGGUGCUGAUACUCGGGCGGCAGCAGAGGUGGCGCCCCUCGGUGCGGUCUCCCUCGUCGGCGGAGGAACCGGCCUUCCUCACAAGGCCGGCAGCCAAAGCAACGGUGUGCGCACGGCUUCCCGCUGCGACGUCUCCCGGUCAUCUCCCGGCAACGGAGACCGCGGCGACUAGACACGCCUACGCUCGGCUCCCGGCGUAGCAAGCGGACCCUCGCAGCGGCCGGAGCCAGAAGACACGGCGCUGCGCCAACCUCCGACAGGAGUACCCGCGGCUCGGACGGUAGACACUGAACGCGUCACCCUCCCGCACUUCGGUUCGUGUUGCCGCCCCGGACACCGGUGCUGUGUGGCUCUCCUCGUGGCAGCCCGGCUCCCGGCGACGCACGAGGCGCGACCCUCGGCGUAUACAGUGACCCUUCCGCAGCGGCGCCAGCGCGCAAUCCGCCGGCAACCGCCGAAGCGCGGAUCCGGCGCGGCGGAGCAAUGGCGUCCUGCGCUUCGGUCACUAAGGCCAGAGGGUCAGGUCGCUCCCCGGCUCCGGUUUGCUUCGACUAACAGGUCGUUACCGCAGGAACUACGUUCUACCGCCGCUCGCGGUGGUGGUCAGGUCGCUACCAUUACUUCACUCCGUAGAAUGGAGAAGAACUAAGUACAAGACAUUUUUCUUUAAUCCUAGCUACCUACGGUUACGGGAACUAGAAGUAAGAGGACAAUUAAAGGAUGUUCCUUAGCGAGAACUUCUCGGUUAAUUUCUAGCUCUCUAAGUACAGCAACGUCACGUGUCACGCUCCGACGGCGAACCUUCGUGAAGGCGGCCCGACUCCCGGCGGCUCCAUCGCCCGCGGUGGUGCGGACCGGCUCCCGACUCCGGCAGGUUGAUCGCUCGCUACGGCAUCGGCCCCUUGCGGCGUGGCCACCUCAGCGAGACGGCCCUCGCACCACUACUGCAUAACUCCCGGAGAAACUAAGUGUUCUAAAACUUUUACGUCCUUAUCCUUUUCAUAUCCUAACCUCACAGUACGGGUGAACUUAGGAUAUCCUAAUUGUUCUCACAAACUAAAGUGCCCUUUUCGUUUCUUUAACCUUUUUCUCCAACUUCACCUACAAUCUAAAGGAUACUUUAGAUCAUGUUUUCUAAGGCAACCUUUUUAAGGAUACCCUGAGUUAGGAUACUUAGUUUCUUGUUUGUAUCCUUUUUAAGGUUUCACAAAGUUAGGAGGUUUUUAGGAUAUCUUAAGGAAACUUAGUUUCCUCCGGACUUUAUCUUGCUCUGCAUUAGACUAUCAUUACUUUUUAACACAGAUAACUACUACUGUUCAAUGUAUAAAUAUCAGGGGCUUCUCCACGUAGGCCUCCCUGUGAUGCCAAUGUUCUCAACGUAGAGAAAUAUACUGUCAAACCUAUUCACCUCUAAAUUAGAGAAUUAAUUGAACACAAUUAAUUCAGAAUUGUAAGUGGUGUGCGGAUAGGUAUGACGGUGUGCGCGGAGCAUCGAAGAAGCGGCGAGGUCCCGCAGGUGGCGAAGGAGAGGAGCGGCGAAGUCGCGGGGCGGUAGCUGCGCGGUAGUACGGCGGCGCGGCGGCUCCUCACAGCUCGAUGGCGCCGCAGGCGGUCACGGGGUUGCCG
rnacentral:rRNA from 1 species